rnacentral:tRNA from 1 species
GGGGAUUUAGCUCAGUGGUAAAGCGCUUGCCUAGCAAGUGCAAGGCCCUGGGUUCAAUCCCCAGCUCCG